ACUGAUGAGGGCGACUACCAGGUAAAACUGCGCAACCUGCGUCGUUUCCUCGAGGGAGGUGACAAAACCAAAGUCACUAUCCGUUUCCGUGGCCGGGAAAUGGCACACCAAGAGUUGGGCAUUGAAUUGCUGAAUCGCGUUAAAAACGAUUUAGAAGAAAUCUCAAUUGUUGAGUCGUUCCCAAGACGUGCCGAAGGGCGCCAGAUGAUUAUGGUCUUGGCACCCAACAAGAAGUGAUCGUGGUUUACAAGUAGUCUGAUUGUCAGGCUCACCCUUUCACACUUUUAUCAACAAUGCGGAGUUUAAUUUCAUGCCAAAAAUGAAA
rnacentral:misc_RNA from 1 species